rnacentral:tRNA from 3 species
GAGAAAUACCCAAGUGGUUGAAGGGGCUGGCUUGGAAAGCUAGUAGACUUGUAACAGGGUGCGAGGGUUCAAAUCCCUCUUUCUCC